CGCGUAGGCGGAUCGUUAAGUCAGAGGUGAAAUCCCAGGGCUCAACCCUGGAACUGCCCUUGAUACUGGCGAUCUUGAGUAUGAGAGAGGUAUGUGGAACUCCGAGUGUAGAGGUGAAAUUCGUAGAUAUUCGGAAGAACACCAGUGGCGAAGGCGACAUACUGGCUCAUUACUGACGCUGAGGCGCGAAAGCGUGGGAGCAAACA
rnacentral:rRNA from 1 species